UUUAGUGGCAUGAACAUCACACAACUUUUAGAAAUAGCUCAGAAGGUGUUUGAUAAUAGAGAAAAUGCCGCUGACAGAGCUUCCAAGAGACAGGCAAAAAUUUUGGUGGCUGCCCUCCAGGAGACACGGGGAAACCCCCUUCCCAAGAAAUCAACAAGAUACCAAGUCCCAGCAAAAAAAGGCCCAAAUCUGCCUCCAAAACGUAUCUUAUUUAGGAUACGAGCUCACCCGGGGAAAGCAGGCUCUUUCCAAUGCUCAGAAACUGGCUAUCUUGCCAAUCCCAACCCCCAUCACGAAAAAAACACCAGCGGGAAUUCCUAGGGGCCACAGGAUACUGCUGCCUCUAAAUUCUGGGGUUCACAGAAAUUGCCAAGCCGCUCUACACCGCCACCAGUGGAAGUGGGAAAUUGGUCUGGACUGAAGCAGAGAAACAGGUCUUUCAAAACCUAAAAAAGGCUCUCACUGAAACACUGGCUUUGGCACUCCCAGAAGUGUGAAAACCUUUCCACCUGUUUGUCCAUGAAAGCAAGGGCAUAGCCAAGGGGGUCCUCACCCAGACUCUGGGACCAUGGCGAUGGCCAGUUGCCUAUCUAUCAAAAAGUUUGGACCCAGUGGCCUCGGGUUGGCCAAACUGCCUACGGGCAAUGGCAGCUACUGCAAGCCUGGUCCCCGGAAGCCAAUAAGUUAACCUUGGGCCAAGAAUUAGCCUUUACGGCACCCCAUGCAGUAGAAAUCCUGUUCAGAAGUGCCUCGGAAAAAUGGAUGUCAAACUCAAGGAUCCUACAGUACCAGAGCCUGCUACUGGACCAGCCCAGGCUAACUUUCCAUCCUGCGCGGUGCCGAAGUCCAGCAACUUUGCUCCCGGACCCGGACCUCUCUCUGCUCCCAUCCAUGACUGCCCAGAAAUACUGGUGGUCACAGAGACUGGUAGGCUGGACUUGCAGGAUACCCCUCUAAAACAAGUGGAUGCCACUCUGUUCACCGAUAGAAGCAGCUUCAUCAACCAGGGGGUGUGCAAGGUGCAGCUGUCACAACUGAGACUGAUAUUAUUUGGGCUCAAGCACUACUGGUUGGCACCUCCGCACAGAAGGCUGAACUUAUAGCCCUCACGCCACUCGGGCCCUUCACUGGGCAAAAGACAAGAGGGUAAACAUUUACACUGACAGCCGGUAUGCCUUUGCUACUGUGCAUGUACAUGGGGCCAUAUACCAGGAAAGGGGACUACUUAAUUCUGCGGAAAAAACUAUCAAAAUUGAAGAAGAAAUUCCGGCCCUGCUCGAGGCUAUGUGGCUUCCCUGUCAAGUCGCUGUGAUCCAUUGCAUAGGACACCAGGGAGACCAAACGACCAUCACCCAGGGAAAUCAAAAAGCAGACCCUGCAGCCCGAGGAGCGGCCAUGCUUCCUGUCACCCCACUGACUGUGCUGCCUGUCAUAUCCUACCCACAGCCAGAUCUGCCCUAUUGUCCGACAUAUUCUCCAGAGGAAGAAAGACAAGCAUUGGAUCUUCAGGCCAACAAAAGCCAAAAUGGAGUUAGCAGGAUUGUUUAAAAUGUAUUCAUUACAGCCAAGCUGGGGUGUUUCACUGGGAGGCCAAGGCGGGCAGAUCACAAGGUCAGGAGAUUGAGACCAUCCUGGACAACAUGAUGAAACCCUGUACUUUACUCCCUGUGCUGGUUUAUCUCUGAUGUACUGGAAAAAAGCCAGAACAAAGUUUGCUUACUUCUCUUAAUCCUUAAAAUCCUAACUGUUACCCAACUGAACUUGGGUCUGCUUACCGAGUACACAGAAAAAAAAAAAAGAACAACUGACACUGGGGUUUACAGCAAGAGGAAGUGAAGCAUUUACUGCCUGGUGCCAUGCAAAAAGUACUGGGCAGCAACCUGACGCUGAAGACUUGAACUCCCUAAUGACUUAUAAGUAAGAGUUUCUAAGAAAGCAGAAGUUGGCCAGGUGGUUCACACCUGUAAGCCCAGCACUUUGGGAGGCUCAACUGGGAGGAUGGCUUGAGCCCAGGAGUUCAAGAUCAGCCUGGGAAACAUAGCGCCAGGCUGCAGUGCAGUUGCGCAAUCUCGGCUCACUGCAACCUCUGCCUCCUGGCUUCAAGCAAUUCUCCUGACUCAGCCUCCCGAGUAGCUGGGAUUACAGGCGCCUGCCACGGUGAUCAGCAGCUGGGGAAGUGGAUGAAGCCCACGUCAGAAUGAGACCGCUGACCUCUUCAUUUCCACACUUUUGGCUCAAGGUAUCAUUCGGCUCAACACCAUUUAAAAACUAUGUAGGCCAGGCAUGAUGGCUCACACCUGUAAUCCCAGCAUUUUGGAGGCUGAGGCAAGUAAAUCACUUGAAGUCAGGAGUUCAAGACCAGCCUGGCCAACAUGGUGAAACCCUGUCUCUACCAAAAAUACAAAAAUUAGCUGGGCACAGUGGCACAUACCUGUGAUCCCAGUUACUUAGGAGGCUGAGGCAGGAGAAUCGCUUGAACCUGGGAGGCAGAGGCUACAGUGAACUGAGAUGGCACCACUGCACUCCAGCCUGGACGACAGAGUGGGAUUCUACCUUAAAAAAAAAAAAAGCUAUGUGUGGGCUGAGGGGCCCCGGGGGUUCUUUGCGGGGGCACUGGGCAGGAGGACCUGUACAUAGCACUGAGGGGCUGCCCCACAGGAAGAUGAAUAAGGGCUAGCUGGAGCUGUAGAGUGACCUGGGCCACUUCACCACACUGGUGGAAGAUUUUGGCGUCAAAGGGGUACAAAUAGAGGAGAUCUAUGACCUUCAGAGCAAAUGCCGGGCCCUGUAUAUGGAUUUAUCCUUCUGUUCAAAUGGAUAAAAAAGCGGCAGUCCCAGUGAAAGGUCUUUACCUUGGUGGAUGAUACACCCAUGAUUGAUAAUGAUAUCGUGAAUAAUGUUCUUUGCCCACCAGCUGAUACCAAACUCUUGUGCCACUCACGCCUUGCUGAGCGUGCUCCUGAACCACAGCAACCUGGACGUGGGACCCACCCUGAGUCGCAUGAAAGACUUCACCAAAGGCUUCAGCCCUGAGAGCAAAGGAUAUGCAAUUGGCAAUGCCCCAGGGUUGGCGGGCACAUAAUAGCCACACCAGGCCCCAGUCUGUGCCACCUCCCUGUGAAGCAGAAUGGCCUUAGUGCAGUGCAGACCAUGGAGCCAUUCCACUUUGUCAGCCAUGUGCCCAGCAGAGGCCGGCUCUUUGAGCUGGAUGGGCGGAAGUUCUACCCCACUGACCACGGGCCUUCAGGGGAGGAUGAGGAGUGAACAGACAAUGCCUGGAAGGUCAUCGUGCGUGUAUCAGCCUCGCCACUGCAGGGGAGCCCUACCACGACACCAUCUGCUUCAACCUGAUGGCAGUGGUGCCCGACCACAGGAUCAAAUAUGAGGCCAGGCUGCACGUGCUGAAGGUGAACCGUCAGACAGUACUAGAGGCUCUGCAGCAGCUGAUAAGACUGACACAGCCAGAGCUGAUUCGGACCCACAGGUCUCAAGAAUCACAGCUGCCUGAGGAGUCCAAGCCAGGCAGCAACAAGUCCCUGCUGGUGCUGGAGACAAACAGGGCCCCUGCAGCCUCGGAAGGCACACAGGUGGUACAGAGGAGGCGGCUGGUUCAUGUGUACAAUCCCCAACCCACAGUUCUCCCAGCAAACCCAAGCUGGUGGUGAAGUCUCCAGGCAGCAGCCUCAGUGGGGUUGGGUUCCCCUCAACCCCACUCCCAUUGUCCAGCGGCUGCUAGCUUUUCUAGACAGUCAUAAGUAUGCCAAGUCCCCAUGCAGGAGGAAGAAGACCUGGUGGCAGGUGGGGGCCACAGCGGAUUUCCAGCCCGCCCACCCCAGCAGUACUCAGAUGACGAGGAUGACUAUGAGGAUGAUGGGGAGGAUGACGUGCAGAACCCCAACUCUGCCAUUAGGUAUAAGCGGAAGGGAACAGGGAAGCCAGGGGCACUGAGCCGUUCUGCUGAAGGGCAGCUCAACACCAUCAACAUCUUGGCUGAGAAGCUCAGAGUCCCAGCAGGACCUCUCAAUUCCUCUGUCCAUCAAGACUAGCAGCGGGGCUGGGAGUCCGGCAGUGGCAGUGCCCACACACUCGCAGUCCUCGCCCACCCCCAGCAAUGAGAGUUUGGACACAGCCUCCGAGAUGGGCAGUGCUACAACUCACCACCGCACUCGCCCAUCCACUUGACCAACCUGACGUGGGCCUCCAGCCCUGCCACCUCCCACAUCUCCACGGUGCUUUUUGGAGAGGAUGACACAGCCUGCUGCAUGUUGACUGCAUAGGCUACGGCCGUGCUGUCUGCGAUCUGGGUCCUGUCAUCAGCACAGGCCUCCUGCACCUGGCUGGGGAUGGGGUGCUGAGUCUCCUGGCACUGACAGAGGGUGGGAAGGGUUCCUCAUCCUCCAUCAGACCGAUCCACGGCAGCCAGCAGUCCAGCAGCCCUGUGGAGGAGACCGUGGAAGCCACGGACGGCAGAGAGAAGACAGGGCUGGUGAGGCCUGGAGAGCCCUCAGGUGGGGAGAAGUACUCACACAAGGAGCUGCUGGCACUGCUGAAGUGUGUGGAGGCUGAGAUUGCAAACUAUGAGGCGUGCCUCAAAGAAGGGAUGGAGAAGAGGAAGAAAUUCAAGACUGAUGACCAGAGAAGGACCCACCACUACGAUGAGUUCAUCUGUACCCUCAUCUCCAUGCUGGCCCAGGAAGGCAUGCUGGCCAACCUAGUGGAGCAGAGCAUCUAGGUGCAGCAGUGCCAAGGGGUCAGCAUCAGCCAGCUCCGCAAGCAGCAGAAGCCUGACCCGCAGAAACGCUCUCACUCCUACAAAGCCAAGCACCAGGGAGGACUGCUGGCCCUGACUCUGCAGCCCACUCUUGCCACGUGGCCCUCACCAGGGUCCCUCCCUGCUCCACUUCCCCUUUUCCCAGUAUUACUGAAUAGUUCCAGCCAGAGAGCCCAGGCCCGGGGAAUGGGAGGAACCAGGACAGAUUCCCUGCAUCAUGCCCUGAGGCCUGGCACAGGGCACAUCAGCCCCGUUGUGCUCAAGAAGCAGCAUCUGGAGUUGGGGCACAGUGGGGUACUGCAGCUUCCUCCAGAGCCGGUUGUGGAGCAACAGGACCUGGCCCUUCUGCCUGGACAGCAGAAUAUACAUUUUGCCUACCAAAGACAUCUAUUUUUCUGGGCUCCAACCCAUCUUGCCACCAUAGGUUCCUUCCUGACUGUGCUUUCUCUCCUAGCAGCUGUCCUGGUUGGCCCAGGUCCUUGUAUCAUGCCAGGGUCCCAGCUAGGGGCCUGGGUGGACACCAGGCCUUGCUGUUCUAGCCCCAGCCACCAGCCUGUCCCUGUUGUAAGGAAGACAGCCCUACUCUUCAUUCCUCUUAGGAGAGUGCCAAACUCAGGGGCCCAGCACUGGGCUGGGUUGGGAGUGGGCUGUCCCAGUGGGGGUUGAGCGAGCAGCCUGCUGGGAUCCCACGGCCUGAGCGGAGCAUGUGGGAACUGUUCAGCACCCUGUGAACUGUCUUCCUUGUUCUAGCCAGGCUGUACCAGCUCCACAGCAAGGUUCUGGGGCUCUUUGUCUUCAGUGUUGUGGCCCUAGCUAUGGGCCUAACUUGGGCUCCAGGUCUCUGUCCCUGGAGCUAGGAGCUCAGAGGAGCCUCUGCCCAGCCCCUCAAUAUGACCAUGUCUCGCUCCUCUUAGGGGUAGCAGAGACAGGGCUGCUUACAGGAAGUCUGCACCACUCAGCUCUCCCUGCUACUCCAGCCUCCUCCCUCUGCAAGGCACUCAGGAUGGGGGACAGCAGGAUCAAGACAACCAGUUGGAGCCCCUGUGUUCCAGAGGGCCUGAUGCCAAGGGGUAAUGGGCCCAGCACUGCCUCUGGAGCCCAGGCCCCAACACAGCCCCAUGGCCUCUGCCAGAUGGCUUUGAAGGUGACCCAAGCAGGCCCCUUGUCUGUACACAGUGAUUGAGUGGGGGUUGCUGGCAGGUAUGGCAGCUGCCUCUGGGCUGAGCACAGCCUGACCCCUCUAGUCCCUAUAAAUACCGGAUCAAUGAAUGAAUAAAACUCUCCCAAGAAUCUCCUGAUGAAA